rnacentral:rRNA from 1 species
UGCUAUCUCUUACCCAUGUCUUUUGAGUACUUACGUUUCCUCGGUGGGUUCGCCCGCCGAUUGGACAAUUUAAACCCUUUGCAGUUGCAAUCAGCGUCUGAAAAAAAUUAAUAAUUACAACUUUCAACAACGGAUCUCUUGGUUCUGGCAUCGAUGAAGAACGCAGCGAAAUGCGAUAAGUAGUGUGAAUUGCAGAAUUCAGUGAAUCAUCGAAUCUUUGAACGCACAUUGCGCCCCUUGGUAUUCCAUGGGGCAUGCCUGUUCGAGCGUCAUUUGUACCUUCAAGCUCUGCUUGGUGUUGGGUGUUUGUCUCGCCUUUGCGUGUAGACUCGCCUCAAAACAAUUGGCAGCCGGCGUAUUGAUUUCGGAGCGCAGUACAUCUCGCGCUUUGCACUCAUAACGACGACGUCCAAAAGUACAUUUUUACACUCUUGACCUCGGAUCAGGUAGGGAUACCCGCUGAACUUAAGCAUAUCAAUAAGCGGAGGAA